AUUCUGACUGCAUGAAGCUCUUGCUCUUACAAGCAUAGAUGAAAAAGUGCAGUGAGAAUGGCCUCGAGGCAAUUUAGAACAUCUGCUGUGAACACAUGAAACCCUUCCCUCUGCAGCCAGCUGGGUUUAAUGGAGCCAAGAUGCCAGGCUGGGUCACCUGAGCCAGGCAGCCAAAGACGUGAAAAUCAGAUGGAUAGAAGCUGAAUUCAGAAUGAAAAGGAUUUUUUAAAGGGGUAUCACCUCUUGGCAGCUCUGUCAUGCAUACAGGAUACCCAUGGACUCUGGAGAAACAUCUCAAUUUUAGCUUAGGCCACUUUCUCCUCCACACAGAACAUUAUCUCCCAACACCUAACACACAAUAUCCUGCCUCCUUAUUUUCCAGGCUCUCCUUUGAUUACUUGUUUGGGUGUC